rnacentral:rRNA from 1 species
UACAGAGGGUGCAAGCGUUACUCGGAAUUACUGGGCGUAAAGCGUGCGUAGACGGUUAUGUAAGUCGGGUGUGAAAGCCCCGGGCUCAACCUGGGAAUUGCAUUCGAGACUGCAUAGCUAGGGUGCGGAAGAGGGAAGCGGAAUUUCCGGUGUAGCGGUGAAAUGCGUAGAUAUCGGAAGGAACACCAGUGGCGAAAGCGACUUCCUGGUCCAAUACUGACGUUCAUGUGCGAAAGCGUGGGGAGCAAACAGG